rnacentral:rRNA from 1 species
AGUGUAGGUGGCCGCAUAAGUCGGAUGUGAAAGCCCUGGGCUUAACCUGGGAAUGGCAUUCGAUACUGUGUGGCUAGAGUCUGAUAGAGGGAAGUGGAAUUCCAGGUGUAGCGGUGAAAUGCGUAGAUAUCUGGAGGAACAUCAGUGGCGAAGGCGGCUUCCUGGAUCAAGACUGACACUGAGGCUCGAAAGCGUGGGGAGCAAACAGGAUUAGAUACCCUGGUAGUCCACGCCCUAAACUAUGUCAACUAGACGUUGGGUUCUUUAAUGAACUUAGUGUCGAAGCUAACGCGUUAAGUUGACCGCCUGGGGAGUACGGCCGCAAGGUUGAA